GACGAACGCUGGCGGCGUGCCUAACACAUGCAAGUCGAACGGGGGUAGCAAUACCCCAGUGGCGAACGGGUGCGUAACACGUGAGGAACAUUCCUUCCGGUGGGGGAUAGCCGGCCUAAC
rnacentral:rRNA from 1 species